rnacentral:rRNA from 1 species
GGUUCAGAACGAACGCUGGUGGCGUGUCUUAUACAUGCAAGUCGAGCGAGGCAGCAAUGCCGAGCGGCGAACGGGUGAGUAACGCGUAAGCAAUCUGCCCCAUAUCAGGAAAUACCCGUGCCAACGCGCGGUUAAUGUCCAGGAGAGUGGCCCUCUGCAUGGAGGGUUGACUAGAGAUUUAUCGGUAUGGGAUGAGCUUGCGUCCGAUUAGCUAGUUGGCGGGGCAACGGCCCACCAAGGCGACGAUCGGUAGCCGGCCUGAGAGGGUGAUCGGCCACAUUGGGACUGAGAUACGGCCCAGACUCCUACGGGAGGCAGCAGUAGGGAAUAUUGCACAAUGGGGGAAACCCUGAUGCAGCAACGCCACGUGUGGGAAGAAGCAUUUCGGUGUGUAAACCACUGUCAUGAGGGAAUAAGGCCCGCCUUCGGACGGGAUUGAAUGUACCUUGAGAGGAAGCACCGGCAAACUUCGUGCCAGCCGCUGC